UACGGAGGGUGCGAGCGUGUCCGGAAUCAUUGGGCGUAAAGGGCGCGUAGGCGGCCAGCACAAGUCAGUUGUGAAAUCUCCGAGCUUAACUCGGAAAGGUCAACUGAUACUGUGCGGCUAGAGUGCGGAAGGGGCAACUGGAAUUCUUGGUGUAGCGGUGAAAUGCGUAGAUAUCAAGAGGAACACCUGCGGCGAAGGCGGGUUGCUGGGCCGACACUGACGCUGAGGCGCGAAAGCCAGGGGAGCGAACGGG
rnacentral:rRNA from 1 species